GACGAACGCUGGCGGCGUGCCUAAUACAUGCAAGUUGAGCGCUGAAGGUUGGUACUUGUACCAACUGGAUGAGCAGCGAACGGGUGAGUAACGCGUGGGGAAUCUGCCUUUGAGCGGGGGACAACAUUUGGAAACGAAUGCUAAUACCGCAUAAAAACUUUAAACACAAGUUUUAAGUUUGAAAGAUGCAAUUGCAUCACUCAAAGAUGAUCCCGCGUUGUAUUAGCUAGUUGGUGAGGUAAAGGCUCACCAAGGCGAUGAUACAUAGCCGACCUGAGAGGGUGAUCGGCCACAUUGGGACUGAGACACGGCCCAAACUCCUACGGGAGGCAGCAGUAGGGAAUCUUCGGCCAUGGACGAAAGUCUGACCGAGCAACGCCGCGUGAGUGAAGAAGGUUUUCGGAUCGUAAAACUCUGUUGGUAGAGAAGAACGUUGGUGAGAGUGGAAAGCUCAUCAAGUGACGGUAACUACCCAGAAAGGGACGGCUAACUACGUG
rnacentral:rRNA from 1 species